UAUUUAUGUGUCAGCAGAAUCAUACUUAUCUCAUCUUAUAUAUUACAGAUCUAUCCAGUGAAAACAGCAUUAAGAGAACAAUAGUAUGGAUUAUAACUUGGCUGGACUGGACAUGGCACAAACAGAAAAUAAAUGUAUUGAAUUUUCAAUCCAAAUUAUGGAUAUUAGAUUAUUCAAGUGAGUUACCCAAGUCUGCUGUCAAAUAACUUAGAGAAAGUACUUGAACUUGGCACAUGUGAUGGCACAGAAAUCGUAAAAAAAGGAUGAUGGCUUCAACUCUGAAGGAACAUCCCAAACAUGUAAAACAUUUUACAAACAAACCUAAUCAAAGUUUAUAAAUGUUUAAAAAAAGUAAGAUGCACAAGCAAAUUUAUUUACAUACUACAGAUAUUAGAACUAAUGACUAAUGGAAAAAAAAAACUACCUAUCUAGAC